rnacentral:rRNA from 1 species
UACGGAGGGUGCAAGCGUUAUCCGGAUUUACUGGGUUUAAAGGGUGCGUAGGUGGGCAGGUAAGUCAGCGGUGAAAUCUCCAAGCUUAACUUGGAAACUGCCAUUGAUACUAUCUGUCUUGAAUUAUCUGGAGGUGAGCGGAAUAUGUCAUGUAGCGGUGAAAUGCUUAGAUAUGACAUAGAACACCAAUUGCGAAGGCAGCUCACUACGGAUUGAUUGACACUGAGGCACGAAAGCGUGGGGGAUCAAACAGG